CUGAGCACAACGUCCUUCUUCUCGCUCUCUGUUCGAGCCCACUUCCCGUCCUCAGUCGCUGUCUCUUCCCGUCCUUCCAUCGCCGUGACCCGUGACUUCUCUUCCUCCCUCGCUGCCGGUAAGCACUACUGGUUCAAUUUAUUUUCUAAGUUGCUACUAAAUAGAAGUAACAUAUUUUCAGGAGCCAAAUAGAAUUGCAAUUAUAGAUUCCAGCGUUCAUGUUAAUGACAAUGGCAGAGAGAGCAUCAACAAAAAGGUGUUCUUCAUCUUUACAGUAUAUAAUGCUUCAAACCAAAGGAAUAAGCUUAAGUUGGGAGCAAGUAGUUCAGAAGAAGCUGCAAAAUGGAUUCGUUCAUUGCAGGAUGCUGCUAUGAAGGUUCUAUUUCUUAUUAAAUGUCAUUCAUCAUAGAUAAAUUAUAAUAAUGAACUACUUGUGUAUGUUAUUAUUAUUAUGUGGUUGCAUUGCAAGAGCCUCCAAAUCUGCUGGCUUCUCCUUUGUCGAAAAAAUCAUCUCUAAGGUACAUGAUGAGAUUUAUUUAUAUAUGAUGAGCAUGCAUAUAACUAUAUAUAUAGAAAGUGUUGUAAUAAUUAUUAUUGUGAUGUGAUCUAAAAUAGAAAGGGCAGUUCAAAAAGGCCAGAUUGGAUGAAAUUCUCAUUUGACUGGCAAUCAUGAAUAUACAGUGAAGCAAUGACCUAUGAUGUUAUUGAUCAUUCACCACGGCAGAUUUUUGGUUGCUACAUUGAUAAUUACUAACUGGACUUUGCUAGGUAGAUAAUGGCUUUUGUGAACAAUGUGAAUAAUGGACUCUAAAAGUGGUCCAAUAAAAUAAAAAUACACUACACUUCUAAAUUACCCACUUAGAUCUUAAUAUUAGAAUAAUCAUCCGCACACCUAGUGAAUUAAACAUCCGAUAUAUCUAUUGUUCACAUUGUUUAGUAUUUUUAUUGUCUACCUAUACUUUUCUUUACUAAUUGAUUGUCCUCAUCAUUUCAAAUACAUAGAUAGAGUAAUAAAUAUUCAUUCGUAAUCAUAAUCUUCGCUUCGCUUAUAUAUAUAUAUAUGAUGUUGUUUGAUUAAUUUUAGAUGAGAAAGAUAUGAUGUGAUAUGAUUUUUGUACUCGUCCUCAGUGGGGUGAUAUAUUAUGGGAGUGGGUGUGGUUGAUAUAAGUUCAGAAGCUACUUUCCAUGCUCUUAUGUCUCUUGGUCCUUUAAGAUCAGAAUUUUUCUGAUGCCAAUAAUCUUGCAGAUGGGACUUUGGUGUAUACCAGGGCACUAUGGUUGAUCAUGUUAACGGUCACAGUGAUAUUAUUCACCUUCAGAUGAGAAUUAAACCACGAGAUAUGAUGUUAAGAAGGUAUUGGAGAAGAGAAGAUGAUGGCGCAUAUGGCAAGCUUAUCACUAUGUAUUCUGAGAUGGGAUGAGUUUUAUAUAUACUUAUUUAUUUAAAUGUAAUAUUUUAAUGUCUUUUGUAAUUUUUUUUGAGAGAUUUACUCAGUAUUAUAUGUAAUGGAUAAAUUACACUUUAUUUUGAUUUGUGUUAUUUGAAUUAAAAA